CAUGGCUCAGGACGAACGCUGGCGGCGUGCUUAACACAUGCAAGUCGAACGAGAGCGUAGAGAAAGCUUGCUUUUUCUACAAUCUAGUGGCAAACGGGUGAGUAACGCGUAAACAACCUGCCCUACGGAUGGGGACAACAGCUGGAAACGGCUGCUAAUACCGAAUACGUUCCGAAAGUCGCAUGACUGUCGGAAGAAAGGAUGGCCUCUAUUUAUAAGCUAUCGCCGGAGGAGGGGUUUGCGUCUGAUUAGCUAGUUGGAGGGGUAACGGCCCACCAAGGCGACGAUCAGUAGCCGGUCUGAGAGGAUGAACGGCCACAUUGGAACUGAGACACGGUCCAGACUCCUACGG
rnacentral:rRNA from 1 species